rnacentral:pre_miRNA from 9 species
UCUCGAUAGCGUAAAAGUUACCUUCGAAUAUGUAUGGAGUUGGAACGUUUGUCUACGUCUGCCGCUAGAGGCGCUGUUCUAACUCCAUACAAACUUGAGUUAACUUUUACGCUAUCGA